rnacentral:lncRNA from 1 species
CUCAAAGAAUGGAUGGUUCAUUGUCCACACAACUGGGGAAAAUUAAUCAGGAUAAAGCUCACUGGGAUGGCUCAGUUCAAGGAAAAGCCUUUUUUGGAGGAAAAGGAGCAUUGCAAUUCUGAUAUUCACAGCAGCCAUGGGGAAUAACCUGAGCGUGCCAGAGGAAGCUGAGGAUGACAGCACCUGCACAGUGAAGAGUUACCAGCCUCUCCCCGAGUCUCCCGAGGGUAUCACAAAUGGAUCCGCGGUGUUUGCUCAGAGCCCUCCCCCGGCAGGGAAUGGUGAAGGUACGGACUGGGAAAGGGUUGGAAAUGCCCUGGGG